ACAUUCCGCAUUAAGUCAUUUAACACAUCCUAUAUGCCUCGCAGAGUAGACUUGGUAGCUUAGAGACUAAGUUCGGGAUUUGGGCCAGAACGCGUGCUUCCGCCGUUCGCACAUCAAUCAAAGUUGGGAUCGAUAGGAUCAGCCGCCUGGUCCAGUCCCUUGACGGUCCAGUCGGUAAUCCUGUCCUCCCGAUCACGUCCCGGCCGGCCCGGCCCACGCCCACUUUGCUCACCGGCCGCGGCUUCCUGUUUCUGCGCCUCUGCUCCGCCACUCAAAAUGAGAAAUUUCUUUUUAAUUUAGACUUAAACAGACGCAGGCCCUGACGCGACUCGACGCUCUGGGACAGCUGAUAAAAAAUCAUUAUAAAGUUAAGUUUUAAUUAAAAACUACAAUCGAUUAAAGGGCGAGGGGGCUCUGCUCUGUCUGCGGCUCAUAAAUUGAACAUUGGCGGUCUCGGGCAGCUUUCAACGUGCAUGCCUGCCACGCCCCCUCGAAGGCACAACCGGGCCGACGAUGAUGAUGAACUUGUGCCAAUUUUUGAGCCCUGCUCCUGCUCCUGCUGCUGCUCUGCGGAAAUCAGUGGCAGUUUUGAUGAUGUCCGAGUGCCGAUAGUCCCGCUCCCGCUCCCGAUCCCCAGCUCCAGGCCCAGCUCCAGGUCCCCGGCAUAAGCAUUAUAUAAGCGCAUUUCGCUUUCAUUAAUGAACAUGAGGCCACAUAAUAAAAUAAAAGAGGCAAAAAGAAUGGACGAGCGCCCGGCACGUGAAUUGAAAUUUGAUUUAUGAUCGGCAAGCGGCUGGCCGUGUGGGGGGCUUCUUUUCUUCACUUUUUUCGAAUCAGCCUGCCCCCAGAGUUCUGGACUUAGCAGCCUCCUCGGGGUCGUAAAAGCCCCAGCUCAGAGUGCAGUUUUCCGUCUUUAUGAUGCGUUAAAUUGAGGAAUGGCGUGCCAGGGCAUUUAAAUCGUUAAAAGGCAAGUGUAUGCCGCUCAAAUAGGCCCUGUAUGUACAUCCGAUUGUCCAUAUCACACUUAGACCCCUAAUACGAAUCCUUGUUAGCCGCCUAAGCCGCCCUUCGUAGCAGGGAAAUCCCAAUUUUAAAGCCAAUUUAUGGACUACCACUUUCUUGCCUCGAAUUCAAGUUCGAAGACCCACUAACCUACUCAGAGGGCUCUUAUUUAGGCUCGCCCAGCGGAGAGGGCCAAAACAAUAUGCCAAAAGUGUAAUUUGUAUUAUUUUCUUGGAGCUGCAGCGGCGGGCGGCGGGUGGCAGGCGGUGGGCGGAGAACAGGCGGGGGUGGCUGCCAGACAGCCCCUCUCGGCCAUGGCCGAGAGACAGCGAAGCGACAGGGACAGCGAUAGGGAGACACCGAAGCGUUUAAGCACAACUUUAAAUAAUCGUCUGUCAGAACUGUCAAACAAGCCGGCGAGCGCUAGAAUUAAUGGCGCACACCCGGAGACGGGGAGGGCGGGUGGCAAGGUGGGGCGCGAGGCAGCUGCAAUUUGUUAGGCCCUGCGCAGGCGCACAGCGUCCGUUGAACCUGCACUCCCGGCCACCGUAUCUGUAUCUGUGUGUUGCCGGGGAGUAUCCGUAUCUGUAUCUGGUCCUGUAUGUGGAGCAGAGUGCCAAAGCCACAAGUUGAAUUAUUGUUUCUGCAUUUUUUUCGUCGGUUUUCGGUUUUGUUUCUCGCUUUUGCUGUUAGCGCAGUCGCAGCGAGUUAAAAACAAUGCCAUUGCCAUGGCGGUGCUUCAUCACCCGCUAUCGCCCUCUCUCUCCCGCCCCGUGCACCCAUCUCUUUCCGCCAUGGGUAAAAUUAAUGUUGCUGCGCCGCAGCGGGCGAACUUUCAACUGUUGCUGCUGCUGCUGCUGCUGGUGCGGCUCUGGCUGCCUUAAGAUGAAAAAUUAUUGCUUUUAAUUUAUUGCAUAAACAAAGGCUAUGCCAGUGGAAUAAAAAUGUGUGUAUAACGGCUCUCAAGGUCACGGUUACACACACACACACACACACCCAUACAUACAUACGGGGGCAGUGUGUGACAGAGACAGGCUGUGGGGCUUUCCCCGACUUCGCUGCCAACUGUCAAAAAUGAUUUAGUAGUUCAAAGCCGCGUUUUGCGUUUUGCGACGUCUGCCGCCGACUCUGCCCCGGCUGCAGCCCAAGUGCGAAAAAUGUGAGGGCAGCGAGCGUCCGACACCAGCUGUCAAAUGCAAAAUACAACAAACACAGCAGGCCCAGGCCCAGGCCCAGCAGCGACAGCGACAGCGACAAUUUUUGACACAUUCGAAGCGACAGCGAAUUUUGACAGUUAGCAAGCUGAAAGGUCAAGCUGAAAGUAAAAGUCGGGCGCCAUUUUUGAUAGAUUGACAUCAUUCCGGGGCGCUUUCAUUCACUUGUCACUUGCACACAGUUUCAGUUUCACAUUCAGUUUCGGUUUCAGUUUGGGAAACAUUAGUUUUUUAUGGUCGCCACUCGGAGCAGAAUCAUCAGAGCCAUUGACGGACGUCCCGGCACAAUAAACUGACAAAUCAAAAUCAAAAACAAACCAAAUUAGCCAGUCGUAAAAGCAGAAUGGCAACUGUUGAUAGAUCAUUCGAAAUAAAAACAGCGCGCUCCGCAGUCCGCAAGUUUCAGUUUUUAGCGCUGCGCCUUGUGUGGGGCAAUUAAUAGUACUGGCGCGGCAGUUGUCUGGCCGUCGCUCGCUUCGACGGAUUAACGGGGUAUUAAUGUUGUUUGAUGGGCUUUUCGCUUUUAUUUGCCUUGCUAUCAAUUAGCUGAAGAACUCCAGCUCCAGCUCAAGACAAAGCGCCAGAUAAAAGGGAACCAGAACACUCACUGGCUUCAUUGGCGCACUGCCUAUGAGUAAUGCCCUCCCCCAGACCGAUUACCAGCUGCCGAACCGUUUAAGUCACUUUCUUUGAUGCCCGGCCUCAUCAUAAUUCCGGCAAGUCGCUCGCCCAGACGCACAACCCACAUAAAUCCAGAGGUCGCACCCGCAACUCCAGUUGUUGUCCUCCUGAAUUAUGCAUGCAACAAAUUGUAUAAAAAUUUCUGCAACUUUACGUUGCGACGUGAAGAAAUUUGGGAAUCAAGCCGAGCGCAAAAGACCCUCUGAAGUUAGAGGCAUACUUCUCGGGGGUGGUGGAGCAGGAGGGCGGAUGAAAGGACCAAAGCACUAACAGGACUCCCUGUCCCUGGUCGCUGGUAUUUGGGCUUAGCCCAAGUCAACCCCCAAAGGAUGUGCGGGAAUAUUUAUUUUUGUUUUCCCAGUCCCAGCUCCCAGACGGUCUCUCAACGUUUACAAAGUGAUUACUUCUGUUUAAAAAUUGAUGUCUCGAUGUUGGACACGUUUUCAAUUUGCAGCGAAAUGGCGCGUGCUCUUCUCAGGUGCCGGAUCCAUUUCCCGAUCAUUGCGAGGGAAAACGAAACCGAAACCUAAACCGAUAACGAAAACGAAAAGGAAAAGGAAAACAAGUUUAAGUGCGUCAAAAUUGUCAAAAGAAAUUCCUUAAAUGACUUUGUCAAGUCGUUAAAUUGGUGUCGCUUUUUUGUCUCGUUUGGCUUUAAUCACCGCAUUGGCUGUCAUGUCCGAGCUGAAUGGCAAUUAAAUGGUCUACGAAUCGUUAAAUCAUUCAUGAUUAACUCGCUCUGUCCACCAGCUCGGCGCUGGGGAGCUCGGCUGGGGUGAGCUGAGCUGAGCUGAGCUCCCUGUCCUUGAAGAUUUAGUGCCGUUGAAAAUCGUUAAUCUGAAUCCGAAAUCCGUGUUCGAUUUCAAAUUCCAGAGGAGCCGCUGUCGCAUAAUCGAUGAACUUCUUGAUUGGCACUCAUAAAAGUCUUCCCCGUCCCCGUCCCCCUCCCCGUCGACCGGUUCUCUAUUUUUCUCAAAGCAAAUUGCUGGCCAUAUAAUUGCCGCCGGCCACCAAAAGGUAACUUGGCUUAGAGUCUCUAGGCCCAAAUGGCUUUUUAAUUUGGUCAACGACGAAAACGGGUUGGAAAACACCGCCACCGACUCCACUCGAUUCGGCGUUGUUUGUUUAUUUUGUGUGUGUUGUUUUUUGUGUCUGCGGGCUGACGUUUAAUGGGCCUUUACCCCGAAGGGGUAUGCUUGGAAUGUCUCCCCAUUUGCAUAUUGUAUAUGCAGUCUGCCCCCAGCGCCCUGCGCCCUGCGCCCUGCGCCCUGCGCCCUGAAAUAUGCAAUGUUUUUGCCAUCCCCAUAGCUGCGAGGUGUUGCUAUCGGAGCUGAGAAUUUCGCCUCGCAUUAAUUCAUUAUUUCGUUCAUUUCACCAUUGCGAGUUCAAUUCCAGGCAACUUUCCUGGCUCUGGCUCUGGCUCUGGCUCUGGCUCGGGGGAAACUUUGAUUAAACUUCUCGCCAAUGGCAGUGGCUCUGCCUCGUACAUACAUAUCUCUAUAUAGUGUCUGACCAAGUUUCAUAUAAGUAACACAGAUAGCGCGCACCCACAGAGCAUAAUCGGAGGAGUCGGGGGAGUUUGGAGUAGCAGAAGGAUAUCCAUUUGCCAAAAUAGCAAAACUUGCAUAAAAACUUUUGCGCAACAACUUGGACUUUUUCAUCAAACAAAAGCAAAAGGGAAAUAGCACACACACCCGUACUAGCUGGGGGUGGAGAAUGAAACAAACUUUUAAUGCAACCUCCCCAUAGCCCCAUAGCCUGCCCUCCCACCAAACAACAAACACGAAAAUAUCCGAAAGAUAGACAAACUUGCAGUGCGCCCACCGCCCACCGCCCACCGCCCACCGCCCACCGCCCUCGUCCUUGCUGCCGCCCAUUUGCACAGCUGUCAGUCAGUGGAAAAUAUUUCCCAGCCAGGCACAUAGAGCCCAAAGACAAGGAGCGCUGUGCGCUGAGAGAGAGGGCCGGCCGAGCCAACAUGGCGAACAAAAGUUUUGCUCGCUGCGGCAAAAAGCGGAAAUGCAUUCAAAAUCUAAUAUGGCAGCCAUGGUCAUGAGCAGCAACAACAACUGGCUUGGCUCCCCCCCUUUCUUUCCUUUAAGCCACCUCCUCCGCUGCCGCCCCUCCGCAAAGUAGCAGCUAAACAAAAAGGCUAAAGAGUGCCAAAGAAGAAAAUGCAAUUUUCUGAAAAACCCAUUAAAUGUUUGCCAUCAAAAAAAAAAAAAUAGGAAUCGCAGAGCAGCAGAGUGGGGCGGGGGAAUAAAAGAAUGAAAGCAAGAAGUGGGUGGUGGGUGGGUGGUGCAGGGUCGGAGUUGAACUGCAAAUAAAGCAAACGACGAGCGCCAGAAGAUGGCGGCGCUUGCCAGUGAUAGACUGUGCGACUAUAUACUUUCUAUAUAUCCGAGCCACAGUCUGGGAGGUACAGUCCUACCUGGCCAGGCACUAACCACCAAGAAGUAAACUAUUCUCCCUUAUCAGCCACUAAAGACAUGCCCCGAGUCGAAGGACCUAUCCCAACGCUCCUUAAACUGCUCCUCCUUAGACGUUCCGUUCCAUUAGAGACAUCACUGUACCCCCACUACCCACCAUGACUGCCUGUUUAAUUUUGCUUCUCUCGUUUCUGUGGCUCAUAUAGAGCCAUUAGCAGCACUUUAAAUAGCAGCCUCGAAAGCGCCUCAACUCGAAACUUUAAACUGGAAUCGCAAGUUCGAAGGCUCAGGCUCACAUGUCAGAGGCACCAAGGCACAAUGUGCUGAUAGAGCCAUUUACGCCGUCAGCACAUAAUGAUGGAAGGAAAGCCGAGGUCCGUGGCGGAGGAGGAGGAGGAGGUGGCUGCUGGUGGAGGAGCGAUGGAGGAGCAGCAGCUGCAGCGGCUGCGCUUUUCUGACGGAUUUUCCCGGCACAUAGAGGGAGCUAUGAACGGAAAGCUGAACAGAAAACAGCAGAAAAUAGCAAACUAGCAGGCAAGGCUGCCUUGGGCGGCUUAGACAGACGACGAGGAUGGAUGCAGACGUGGCCAGCAGCCAGCAGCCAGGAGCCGUGAGCCAUGAGCCAUGAGCUAGGAGCGCCAAGGAUAUUGGCACAGCAACAGAAACAGCAGCUGCUGGCAGAUGGCAGCAGGCAGCAGAAAGCAGGCAGGACCUCACUCCGCCAGUAUAAGGGGCAAGGAUAUAUGCCUGACGAUGAAAUUUAAUGGGGUGCUUUGAUGCGAUUGGUUUUCAUAUAACGCAGGCGCUUAAAAUCAUCGAAUCAUUCAAAAGAAAACUGAGCUGACUGCUCCAGCUCACAGACACAGUCGCCAGCACACACACGUGUGUAGUGUGUGUGUGUGGGUGUGUGUGUGGGGGAAAGCUCUCGCACACACUCACAGCGGGAGCAGCAGCAGCAGGAACGCAGCUCUUGUGUAUAAGAAUUUUUUCUGCUUUCUGCUGACUGCAAAUAAAAGAAAUGUAGAAAAAUACUAGAAAGGAACGUGAAAAAAGCGGAAAAUAUAAUGUGGAUGUGUGAGUGAGCACUCUCCUUGGCUGUGUGCUCUCGGGCUGGGGGCUUUAUAUAAAGAAAGGAAAAGGAAAAGGACAAGUGGGGGGCUGGGAAUGGGGUCGGAGUCCUCGCCAAUACGCAUACAGACAGCUGCCACACACAGGCACACAGGACAGACACACUGAUACACUAGCUGGCUGGCUAGCUUUUGGGAUGAAAAAGCUUUUCUUCAUUCUAUGUAGCUCCUUUGGUGCUUGCCUUUUAGGUCCUUUUAGGGGACUAGCAGCUUAUGCAGCGGGGGUAGGUCCUCCAUGCGGAGUCCAGCACUCGGAGUGACAAUCAGGCUUAUUUUAAAUGCAAGUCUUUAAUUUGCCACCUUGCCACGACCUCUGGGCGGAGCCAUAAAUCCUGCAGGAUUCAACAAGUUCCUAGGACGAGUGCAUAAACUCUGGGAAACAAUGGCAGAUACAUUAACACGCUGAGCCACCGAAACAGCCCAGGGGACGGGUCUGCGUCUGCAACUCCCGAAAAACUCGCGGCAAAAGCCCAUGACAAAUCGUCCUGGAAAAAACAACAGAAGCACAAACACACACCAACACACACACACACACACGCACACAUGAAGUUAUCGAUUAUUGUAGCAUACUUACGGGCGUCGUUGGGGGUUUAUUUAUUUUUGGCUCGGCAGUUUGGUUACCAAAGCCAGACAAAGAAAAUAAUGAAAGUCAUGCUUACAGCAGGCUUACAGAUUCUUUUUCAGCCUGCUUUUUCGGCUGUUUUGGGGCCGGUAAUCGCAAUUUGUUUGGAGUGGAGCCGAGCCGCUGUCUGUCUGGGAAAAUCACUUUACAGCCGGCGGGCCAGAAGUUUUCCCCAGUUGACAAGCGACUAUUUAACACGCGUCAUAGCAUGAAUUUUAUGCGCGCACAACAGACACCAAUACACCAGUACCAGUACCAGUACCAUACACACAGCACAGCACAGCACACACACUCGGUGGGAAAAUAAAAGGAAAACCAGUGUCAAGGUUAACGACCAAUGAAUUUAUUUUGCUUGAAUAAAUUUUACGAUAA